UUGAUACGUUACCUACAGCUGAUGAGCUUCAAAAAGAGCAAAACCGGUUGAGUCCUGUAGUUCUGGCCUAAUUAUCA
rnacentral:hammerhead_ribozyme from 1 species